rnacentral:lncRNA from 10 species
CCAAAGAAAAAUUAUCCUUAUCAGUGAUGUCUGCCUGGUGGCUGGUGAAUGGUAAAAACUGGCAGGAGAGACCAAUCCGAUGGGAAAUCAAGUUCAGGUAUUCUCCACUGGUUGAAUGCAAAUGGAAGCCAGAGGAAAAGGGAACCCUUGACACAGUUUUCAUAUAGAUUGGCCUCCAGGGCAGACAGCAGAUUCCAAGAACCAGGAGGUUGUUUGCUGUACUCUCCCUUGUACAGUUAGCUGUCUCUAGUGCCUGAAUGCACUAAUUGUCCUUUGGGUAUGGAUGAGGUAAUGAAGGAAAGGGAUGCUGGGAAGAGAGGCCACAUGAGAAG